rnacentral:rRNA from 1 species
UACGAAGGGGGCUAGCGUUGCUCGGAAUCACUGGGCGUAAAGCGCACGUAGGCGGCUUUCUAAGUCAGGGGUGAAAUCCUGGAGCUCAACUCCAGAACUGCCUUUGAUACUGAGAGCUUGAGUCCGGGAGAGGUGAGUGGAACUGCGAGUGUAGAGGUGAAAUUCGUAGAUAUUCGCAAGAACACCAGUGGCGAAGGCGGCUCACUGGCCCGGUACUGACGCUGAGGUGCGAAAGCGUGGGGAGCAAACAGG